rnacentral:rRNA from 1 species
UACGAAGGGGGCUAGCGUUGUUCGGAAUUACUGGGCGUAAAGCGCGCGCGGGCGGCGGACUUAGUCAGAGGUGAAAGGCCUGGGCUCAACCUGGGAAUGGCCUUUGAUACUGGUUUGCUGGAGGCCGGAAGAGGGUAGUGGAACUCCCAGUGUAGAGGUGAAAUUCGUAGAUAUUGGGAAGAACACCGGUGGCGAAGGCGGCUCUCGUCCGGACUCUGUACGCUGAGGCGCGAAAGACGUGGGGUAGGUC